rnacentral:rRNA from 1 species
UACGGAGGGGGCUAGCGUUGUUCGGAAUUACUGGGCGUAAAGCGCACGUAGGCGCUUUGCAAGUCAGAGGUGAAAGCCCGGGGCUCAACCCCCGGAAUUGCCUUUGAGACUGCAUCGCUAGAAUUGUGGAGAGGUGAGUGGAAUGCCGAGUGUAGAGGUGAAAUUCGUAGAUAUUCGGCGGAACACCAGUGGCGAAGGCGACUCACUGGCCCGAUACUGACGCUGAGGCGCGAAAGCGUGGGGAGCAAACAGG